GGGCCAUAGCUCAAUGGUAGAACGUCUGCUUGCCUUUUGGACGUUCCUGGGUUCAAUUCCCAGCAUCUCCA